GUGUGUGUGUGUGUGUGUGUGUGUGUGUGUGUGUGUGUGUGUGUAUAUAUAUAUAUACACAUAUACAUACAUACAUACAUACAUACACACACAU
rnacentral:miRNA from 1 species